rnacentral:rRNA from 1 species
ACAAGCGGUGAGUGCUUUGGGGUGGGGUGACUGCGUACCUUUUGUAUAAUGGGUCAGCGACUUAUAUUCUGUAGCAAGGUUAACCGCAUAGGGGAGCCGGAGGGAAACCGAGUCUUAAUUGGGCGUUAAGUUGCAGGGUAUAGACCCGAAACCCGGUGAUCUAGCCAUGGGCAGGUUGAAGGUUGGGUAACACUAACUGGAGGACCGAACCGACUAAUGUUGAAAAAUUAGCGGAUGACCUGUGGCUGGGGGUGAAAGGCCAAUCAAACCGGGAGAUAGCUGGUUCUCCCCGAAAGCUAUUUAGGUAGCGCCUCGUGAAUUCAUCUCCGGGGGUAGAGCACUGUUUCGGCUAGGGGGCCAUCCCGGCUUACCAACCCGAUGCAAACUGCGAAUACCGGAGAAUGUUAUCACGGGAGACACACGGCGGGUGCUAACGUCCGUCGUGAAGAGGGAAACAACCCAGACCGCCAGCUAAGGUCCCAAAGUCAUGGUUAAGUGGGAAACGAUGUGGGAAGGCCCAGACAGCCAGGAUGUUGGCUUAGAAGCAGCCAUCAUUUAAAGAAAGCGUAAUAGCUCACUGGUCGAGUCGGCCUGCGCGGAAGAUGUAACGGGGCUAAACCAUGCACCGAAGCUGCGGCAGCGAACGUAUCACUUAAAGCGAUUCAGCGGGUUACGAUUGACGGAGCGAAGCGACGUCAAAGCGUAUACAAAGUCGAGUCGGUUUAAGGAUACGUUCGUUGGGUAGGGGAGCGUUCUGUAAGCCUGUGAAGGUGUGUCGUGAGGCAUGCUGGAGGUAUCAGAAGUGCGAAUGCUGACAUAAGUAACGAUAAAGCGGGUGAAAAGCCCGCUCGCCGGAAGACCAAGGGUUCCUGUCCAACGUUAAUCGGGGCAGGGUGAGUCGACCCCUAAGGCGAGGCCGAAAGGCGUAGUCGAUGGGAAACGGGUUAAUAUUCCCGUACUUGGUGUUACUGCGAAGGGGGGACGGAGAAGGCUAUGUUGGCCGGGCGACGGUUGUCCCGGUUUAAGCGUGUAGGCUGGU